rnacentral:rRNA from 1 species
UACGGGGGGGGCAAGCGUUGUUCGGAAUUACUGGGCGUAAAGGGCUCGUAGGCGGCCAACUAAGUCAGACGUGAAAUCCCUCGGCUUAACCGGGGAACUGCGUCUGAUACUGGAUGGCUUGAGUUUGGGAGAGGGAUGCGGAAUUCCAGGUGUAGCGGUGAAAUGCGUAGAUAUCUGGAGGAACACCGGUGGCGAAGGCGGCAUCCUGGACCAACACUGACGCUGAGUGAGCGAAAGCCAGGGGAGCAAA